UACGAAGGGUGCAAGCGUCGUUCGGAUUUAUUGGGCGUAAAGCGCGCGCAGGCGGAUAGAUAAGUCAGAUGUGAAAUCUCGGGGCUCAACUUCGAAACUGCGUCUGAAACUGUCGAUCUAGAAUGCUGGAGAGGAAAGAGGAAUUUCGCAUGUAGGGGUAAUAUCCGUAGAGAUGCGAAGGAACACCAGAGGCGAAGGCGGCUUUCUGGCCGGCAAUUGACGCUGAGGCGCGAAAGCGUGGGGAG
rnacentral:rRNA from 1 species